GUAAACAGCGGGCGGUGGGAGGCUCUGCUGCGGUUCCUCUGGGCCACGCGUCCGCCGGGUUUCAUUCUCCCCCUCCGGGGCUCCACAGCGGACCUGGCGGGAGAGGCACCGUCUCCCUCCACGCAGACCGAAGUCAAAAUACGGAGCCGCGGGGAGGAUGAGCGACCCUCACUGUCACAUGGGCGCGCACCAAAAGCCACACUUGCGCGCUCACACAGUGUGCCCUGGCAAGCGCGUGAAAGUUUAAUUCUGUUAAAUGCAAAUUAAGAACUUUGUCGAAACAACCUCACGCGCUCUUUAUUUAUUCCCUGCUUCGCGCGCAGCAUCAACAACAGCAGCGGCAAUCCUCCACCUCCUCGUGCAGCCCAAGUCCAACAAACUGCAGUGCGGCAGCGGUUCGCUAUUUUAAGAAUAAUUUUUACAUGAAGAGGAUAAAUAUUUAAUUUCCCUUCCUCAGUCAUGACCGCCAGAGCGAAUAGAAUUUUUUGUUUUUUUAAAGAAGCGGCUGGUUAAGUUGUUAAAGCGGCACCGAGAGGCUCGACUCAAUUACCAGAAAUUUACUCCAAGAAGUCACAUACAGACGCGGACAGUAAGAAGACAUCAGCAGCAGUGAAAACAACUUUUCCACAGCACUUUGUAAAAACAGUGCUCGCAGGGCAGUAGUGUCACCAUUAAAGGGGAAGCUGAAGAAAGACUGCUGGACGACACAAUUAUCUUACUGGUGUUUGUAGCUCAGCUGGAUGAACCAGGAGACAGAGUCCAUGUCAUGAAGGUAUUUUGUCGCCCCAUCACUGACGCUGACAUCGCUUGCUGCCAUUCAAGAGAGUUAAAACAACUACAGCAACCGCCAGUGGCUCUACUCAUAUGGACAUGUGAGUACUAUUUUGAUUUUAGACUCCUGUUUUAGAUGAAAACUGGCAACAGAUUAAUUUAACAACAGUCAGUACACCAUUCUGUGUGGUGAGAUGAAGUCACAAAAAGCAAAACACAUUUUAAUAAAGGUAAAUCCUAAGUAAACUUACUGUCAUAAAAACAUAUUUUAUUCAAGGAGCCAUGCUUGGACACAUAGUGGUAUCUCUGCUUUGAUUUUGGAAUACUUCUUCCAACACCGGCUUCAACAGAUGCACAGCAUGUCACCGUAAUGAGCUGAGGGGGAGAAAAAAAAGUAGGUUGGUGGAGUAUGCUCUGAACGUCUCUCUCUCUUUUGUUUUAUAACCAUCUAACCCAAUCUGAUAGCAACUAAUGAGUGUGAUUACUUUAGAAGCUGCUAAUAGCUGUAGCUAAUCCCCCCUCUGCCCCCUUUCAUUUCAUCUCCUCCUGCAUCACUCCACACGUCUCCCAGCUUUCUGACUUUGCAUGCCAUCAUUAUUAGAUGUGCGACCCCUGGAUUUCCUCCCCCCUCUUCACCUAUUAUCCAUCACUAAUGACAAGCGGCCGUGUUGUAAAUGUUGCACUUGCAGUGAACUAAGCUGUGAUGUGUGUGCGCUGAGACGGGAGGUGUGUUAUUGUUAGUGUUAUGCAAGUAUCUCACAGGAGCCACACCUGAGUGGGAGUCAGAUUGGCUGAUCUGUAAGUGGCAAUAUCGCACCUAGAUUAGUUUUGUUCUAAAAAAAAAACAAAAAAAAAAAAAACACUUUGACAAGGUUUUGCUGAUGUUUUCAGCAGGAAGUUUUCUUGUAGUUCCCAAAAAUGUUCUUCUUUAAGGUAGGAGAAGUUGUAAAAAUGUUUGGUAACAACACUGGUACACCAUUAUGGCCUAACACUCUCAAAACUGAAUGAAAGUUCUUCCUCUGUUAUCAUGUAGUAUUGUGGAACAUUGUGAGAUUGUUUUAUAGAAUCUGUAACAUGUUCCCUCAAUAACAUCCUCAGAACGUCCACAGAACAUUGCAGUCUGAAUGUUUCACCUUUGUUAAUAUAUCGCAUUAUAGGA